rnacentral:rRNA from 1 species
GAAUUCACUAGUGAUUUGGCGGCGUGGUUAAGACAUGCAAGUCGAACGAGAGAAUUGCUAGCUUGCUAAUAAUUCUCUAGUGGCGCACGGGUGAGUAACACGUGAGUAACCUGCCCCCGAGAGCGGGAUAGCCCUGGGAAACUGGGAUUAAUACCGCAUAGUAUCGAAAGAUUAAAGCAGCAAUGCGCUUGGGGAUGGGCUCGCGGCCUAUUAGUUAGUUGGUGAGGUAACGGCUCACCAAGGCGAUGACGGGUAGCCGGUCUGAGAGGAUGUCCGGCCACACUGGAACUGAGACAGGGUCCAGACACCUACGGGUGGCAGCAGUCGAGAAUCAUUCACAAUGGGGGAAACCCUGAUGGUGCGACGCCGCGUGGGGGAAUGAAGGUCUUCGGAUUGUAAACCCCUGUCAUGUGGGAGCAAAUUAAAAAGAUAGUACCACAAGAGGAAGAGACGGCUAACUCUGUGCCAGCAGCCGCGGUAAUACAGAGGUCUCAAGCGUUGUUCGGAAUCACUGGGCGUAAAGCGUGCGUAGGCUGUUUCGUAAGUCGUGUGUGAAAGGCGCGGGCUCAACCCGCGGACGGCACAUGAUACUGCGAGACUAGAGUAAUGGAGGGGGAACCGGAAUUCACGGUGUAGCAA